ensembl:snRNA U4 U4 spliceosomal RNA
AGCUUUGCGCAGUGGCAGUAUCGUAGCCAAUGAGGUUUAUCCGAGGCGCGAUUAUUGCUAAUUGAAAACUUUUCCUAAAAAUAGACCCAAAAGGUUAUAUUUGUGCCCAGUGCAGACAUG